GAUCUUCCUGCCUCAGCCUCCCAAGUGCUGGGAUUACAGAUCUUGUGGAGAGAGAAGAAAGUUGCCCAUCUCCAGAAAAUUUUCUCAAACCUGGCCCUGCUCCAGAAAAGGAUGAGCCCAGGACCCAGUGGAGCCAGAAUCUGUCCAGCUGUCUAGGUAGUGUUCACAAACAGAACAACAUUGAAGAGUUAUCAAAGGGAAUAUGGGAAAGAGGAGCCCACUUCCUACGGGGUCCACUGUUUCCUUUCUGGAGGCAGCCACGCUACGGGUGUCCAUGCAAACUUCAGAGACAGGAAAACUUCAUUUUGAAUGGAAUCUUUGUAAACCAGCUGUGGUGGCACAGGCUGUAAUCCUAGCACUCGGGAGGCCCAGGCCAGCGGGGCUA